CUUCGGGCGCCCGGCGACGGAUGUUCGUGAACCCCGCCAGGUCCGGAAGGAAGCAACGGUAGCGAGCCUCUCCGUGUGCUCGGGCUCAACCCGAAGUCU
rnacentral:SRP_RNA from 1 species